GCUAAAGUAAGUUAAUAAAACUAACGGGCUCAUACCCCGUCCACACGCAACUCAAGCGUCUUUAGUU
rnacentral:tRNA from 1 species